UUCUCCUUCUUCUCCUUCUUCUUCUCCUUCUCCUUCUCCUUCUUCUUCUAGUCUUCUUCUCCUUCUUCUUCUUCUUCUUCUUCUUCGUCUUCUUCUUCUUCUUCUUCUUCUAGUUUUAUUCUCCAAAAUGAGAAACUUAGCUAAUUAUCCUCCAAAAUGACAUAAUUACCUUAUUUAGUUCAUUUAUGACAUAAUUAGCUUAGUUAGGUCAAAAAUAGCACAAGAACCUUGGUUAGCUGAUAACUUAGCGUAUCUUCCUCCAAAAUG
rnacentral:lncRNA from 1 species